UGAAUGGUUCACCGUCUGUUGCUUAUUUAAUAUUUUUUCUAUAUCUCAUAUAUAAUCAUAACAACCACAUAAAAAUUACAACAAAUCAUAUAUAAUCUUAGCAAAUUGAAAUCCUAAUAAUUGUAUAGACAUAUAAUCUUAACAACUUGAAAAUCCUAAUAACAUAUCCAUACAAUUCUAACAUAAAAAUUGCAAUAAAUCACAUAUAAUCUUAACAACCUGAAAAUCCUAAUAAUCUAUCCAUACAAUUCUAACAUAAAAAUUGCAAUAAAUCACAUAUAAUCUUAACAACCUGAAAAUCCUAAUAAUCUAUCCAUACAAUUCUAACAAUCAAAUAAAAAUUCCAAUAAUCUACGCAUACUAAAAACCUCACUUUUUCCUNCUAUUUUUCAUCUAACAACCUCACUUUUUUCUAUUUUUCAUCUAACAACCUCACUUUUUUCUAUUUUUCAACUAAUAACCUUAUUUUUUUUCUAUUUUUCAUAUAAACCAUGUAUAGGAAAAUGUGAGGUUGUUAGAUGGAAAAUAGAAAAAAUAUGAGAUUUUUAGGAUUAUACGUGGAUUAUUAGAAUUUUUAUUUGAUUGUUAGGAUUGUAUGGAUAGAUUAUUAGAAUUUUUAGGUUGCUAAAAUUAUAUGUGAUUUGUUAUAAUUUUUAUGUGGUUGUUAAGAUUAUAUAUGGGAUAGAGGAAAAAUAUUAAAUAAGCAAAAGGCGGUGAACACCGUCUUUAUUAGUUAUGUUAGUAAGACGGUA
rnacentral:lncRNA from 1 species